UAGGAUUCAAAACCAAAGUGAACCAGCUCCUGCCUACACAGAGUUUACAUUUAAAUGUAAUAGAUAAUAUUUACACAUUUUGAUACACAUAAAAUUCAUUCAAAGCCGAUUCAAAGCAACUUUGGCAACAUUAGCAGUUGGGAGGAGGAUCAAGCAAAGAAAGUUGCUCUUAAGACUAAUAUUGAAGAAAACCUGGGAUUCCAAGAGAUAUGGUGGACAACAGUGAAACCACAGACAGAUAAAGAUUUGAUAUUAAUGAGAGAUUGGGGACAACAAAAGGGGCAAUCUGCUGGAAAACACAAGACAGAAUGGGAUUCAGAUCACAGGUCAGUAUAUUUU
rnacentral:lncRNA from 1 species